UUUAUUUUACUUUAUGAUAAUUCUUUUUGCUAUUAAAGUUUCUAUCAAAAAAAGUUCUUUAUGAAAAUUCUUUUUGCUGUAUUUAGUUUUUUUGUUUUCUUUUUUGCUAUAUUUAUUUUGUUUUGUUUCUACUUACAACAAAAAACUUAUUUAUUUUAUUUUAUUUUGUUUCUAAUUACUUAUUUAUUUUACUUUAUGAUAAUUCUUUUUGCUAUUAAAGUUUCUAUCAAAAAAAGUUCUUUAUGAAAAUUCUUUUUGCUUUUAAUGAUUUUGAACAGAAAAUACUUCGAUAAUUUUAGUGGCAUCAAUUUUAUAUGAUUUUAGUUUCAAUAAUAAUAGAGGUUUCUUAUAAUGUUUUGAACAGAAAAUAAUUUGUUAAUUUUAGUUUCAUAAAUUUUAUUAAAGUUUAUUUUAUUUUGUCGGAACACAAGAAGUCCGGAGUUGUAAUAAGUUAUUAAAAAUAAAAAAGAGGC
rnacentral:lncRNA from 1 species